UACGUAGGGGGCAAGCGUUGUCCGGAAUCAUUGGGCGUAAAGCGCGCGUAGGCGGUUUGCAAAGUCUGGUGUGAAAUCUUGGGGCUCAACCCCAAGCUGUCACUGGAUACUGGCAGACUCGAGUCCGGAAGAGGAGUGUGGAAUUCCUGGUGUAGCGGUGGAAUGCGCAGAUAUCAGGAGGAACACCAAUGGCGAAGGCAGCACUCUGGUACGUGACUGACGCUGAGGCGCGAAAGCUAGGGGAGCAAACAGG
rnacentral:rRNA from 1 species